AAUGGGGUGCAUAUUACAGCGCUUUUUGUGAAGAAGCGCUGUAAAAUGUGCAUAACAAGCGCGCGUUAUAUUUACAUGUUUUAUAGCGCUUUUUUAAAAGCGUUGUUGUAUCAUUUACAGCGCUCGUUUCCACAGCGCUUAUUUUUUUGAAAAAGCGUUGUAAAUAGCUUAAAAAAAGCGCUGUAAAUGAUACAUCUAUGAAUAGAAUCAUAGGGGGUGUCCAAACCUAUUAUGUCAUAAACAAGCAUUACUAUCAAUGACAUUAUUACAAGAUGAAAGAGAAGUAUACCAUCAACAAACUUUAGUUUGUAUUUGGAGAUCACAACAACUUUUAUUGCGCGUGACCAACAAGUGAAAUUCUUAUUGUCGAGUAAUGGGGUAACAAGAACCAAAGAGGAAUUUUCAUUGGAAUGCUAGUAGUAAGGAUUGGCGAGGCUGGUCGCAAAAUCAGAGUAAGCAGAAGCAUCAUCGGCCAUGAUGAAGAAGAGGAAAAAGGGCGCAGGAAGGGUCAAAGAUAAAAUAAAGGUGAAUCUCAUAA
rnacentral:lncRNA from 1 species